rnacentral:rRNA from 1 species
AUGCCUGUUGGUACCCAAGGUACAAUAAAAGGCUUGACUACAGACCAGUUAGAGACUAUAGGUUGUCAGAUUAUACUUGGAAAUACCUACCAUCUUGAACUUCGUCCUGGCUCUCAACUUAUUGAUGACUUGGGUGGCCUUCACAAGUUUAUGAAUUGGAAAAGGGCAUUGCUGACUGACUCUGGUGGUUUCCAAAUGGUUUCUUUGCUGCAUUUGGCUGACAUUACUGAGGAAGGAGUUACAUUUCAGUCACCUGUUGAUGGGAAACCCAUGCUCUUGACGCCUGAGGAAUCAAUCCAUAUUCAGAACAACAUUGGAGCUGAUAUAAUCAUGGCUCUUGACGAUGUUGUUAAGACAACAAUUACCGGCCCGAGGAUAGAGGAAGCUAUGUAUCGUACCCUUCGUUGGAUUGAUAGGUGCAUAGCUGCUCACAAGAAACCUGAUGUUCAAAACUUAUUUGGGAUUGUGCAAGGAGGAUUAGAUCCGGUUCUGAGAGAUAUUUGCAUGAGGGGCUUGGUUGAGCGGAACCUUCCCGGAUAUGCCAUUGGUGGUCUUGCAGGUGGUGAAGAUAAAGACUCGUUUUGGCGUGUUGUUGCCCAGUGCACCGCUGGAUUGCCUGAAGAUAAACCACGAUAUGUUAUGGGUGUUGGUUAUCCACUUGAUAUUGUAGUAUGCAGUGCUUUGGGUGCAGAUAUGUAUGACUGUGUCUAUCCAACACGCACUGCUCGCUUUGGGAGCGCACUUGUGCCUGAGGGUGUUCUGAAGUUGAAACAAAAUGCAAUGGCAACUGACGAACGGCCCAUUGAUCCUUCCUGUCCAUGUAUGGUCUGCAAAAACUAUACCCGUGCAUACUUGCAUUGUCUGGUCACGAAAGAUCCUAUGGGUUCUCAACUGCUGUCAUAUCACAAUUUAUCAUUUAUGGCGCGGUUAAGUAGAGAUCUCCACAUGUCGAUUCUUGAAGGGCGAUUUCCAGAAUUCGUGAGAGGAUUCUUGAGGGUGCAGUUCCCAAAGGGCGACGUGCCAAAGUGGGUUCACAAUGCAAUGGAGGUUGCCGGCAUCGACAUAUCGGAGUGCUGCACCCCGACCAACUGCCAGCAUGACGCAAUGGAGGCUGCCGGCGUCGACAUUUCGGACUUCUGCCCUCCCACCAAAUGCCCCUGA